rnacentral:rRNA from 1 species
ACGGAGGGUGCAAGCAUUAAUCGGAAUUAUUGGGCGUAAAGGGCGCGUAGGCGGGGAUAUCAGUCAAACGUGAAAUCUAAGGGCUUAACCUUUGGACUGCGUUUGAAACUAUAUUUCUUGAGGGUAAGUGGGGAGAAUGGAAUUCCACAAGUAGCGGUGGAAUGCGUAGAUAUGUGGAGGAACACCUGUGGCGAAGGCGGUUCUCUAACUUAUUCCUGACGCUGAGGCGCGAAAGCAAGGGGAGCAAACAG